rnacentral:rRNA from 1 species
CGGAUUGCAGCCUGCAACUCGGCUGCAUGAAGCUGGAAUCGCUAGUAAUCGCAGAUCAGAAUGCUGCGGUGAAUACGUUCCCGGGUCUUGUACACACCGCCCGUCACACCAUGGGAGUUGGGGGCGCCCGAAGCCACUUAGCUAACCCUUUGGGAAGCGAGUGUCGAAGGUGAAAUCAAUAACUGGGGUGAAGUCGUAACAAGGUAGC